AAAAUGACAAAUGUUUUAACUCCAGG
rnacentral:piRNA from 1 species